rnacentral:lncRNA from 1 species
GUGGCAUGAAAUACAAUGAUCAAGUAGGGGUUUAUAGCAUGAUGCGGGAGAGUGGGCCGCUGAAAAGAGAUGAGGAAGGUGAUGAAGAUGGUGAUGUUAAUGAAGACGAUCACCGCGGCGAUGGUUCCCCCGACGGCACUCCGACGCCACCGAGUGAGAGGGGAAGAUACUCUCCCCUCUUAGGCUUUCUCCUCCAUGGCCUCUCCAUAGAUAGGGAAAGGUUCUCCCCUUUGGUCCUUGGCUUUCAUGGCUCCCGGAGGGGCGAGAGCCGCUCUGACAUUGGAUCCCUCUCUGUAUUUCUGUCCUGUUUUUGGUAUUUUUCUCUCUCCAAA